rnacentral:lncRNA from 1 species
UCUCCUCCAUUCAUUCUCCCUCCACAGCUCCAGCCUCCAGCUACUAAGAUGGGCAUCAGAGGCGGCAGGGGAGCUCAGCCAUCGGCGUCGCUGCUGCUCGUGUCUCUGACUCUGGUCGGGCUUGUGCUCCUCAGCUUCACCUCCUCCUCAUCAGGUAACUGCAAAUGCCAUUGCCUGCCUAAAUAUCUUGGUGAUGGAUCGAUGCAUGAUUUCUGAACCCGGUAAAUAUAAUGUUGCAGUCGAGGCGCAGAAGAAGACGUGGUGCGUGGCCAAGCCCUCCGCCUCCAACGACAUCCUGUCUCUGAACCUCAACUACGCGUGCUCUCAGGUGAGCUGCGCCGUCAUCCAGAAGGGCGGGCCCUGCUACUACCCGGACAACCUCGUGUCGCGCGCUGCCGUCGCCAUGAACCUCUACUACGCCGCCAAUGGCAGGCACCCCUGGAACUGCUACUUCAACAACUCGGCACUCGUCGUGCAGUCCGAUCCCAGCUAUGGAUCCUGCACCUACUACUGACCUGCUGCAUGGAAUGGAAUGGAAUGGAG